GUUCCCUGCUAUCUCUCCCAGUGUCCUAUCACCUUUCCCAUCAAGACCAUAUCUCUGCCUGAUCACCAAGCUCUCCUUGGGCUUGAGAGAAUCAAGCUGGGAAACGGAUAAGCAGAAAGCAUGCAUUAUGUUAGAGGAGAGGUUGGACAUCAGUCUAGUUUUUAGGAUUUCCUAACCAUGACAUUGAAAGAAAAAACUACUCUAACAAAAAGCAAUGAUUUCUACAAAAUUAUUGUCAAAAUCA